CGCCCAGAUCCGCCUCCGUUGCAGCCAGAAGCAAGAAGCUGUCUUCCCGCCCCCGCGCGCCUGCAAUCAGCCCCAGUCUGCCUGGGAAACAGAGGAGCGCACCUGAGCAUGUAGAAUCACAACUCUUGUUUCAUGAAGUUUGUUAAGUAAUUUGAACAAAGGUAAAUUUAUAUCAAGAAUCAUGUGAGGAUACUUAAGACCGGCCGGUACUUUCAAGUUUUCUCCUGCCCAGAUCUGUUUGGAAGAAAUCUAGUCUUAUCUGCCUCAAAAGUCCAGCAGAGAAAAAUAGCUGAAAUAAAUGAAGCCUGUGAUUA